GGAAGCGUCUAGGAUCCCGGUGGGCCUCCCGGACUUCAAAUCCGGCGGACCGUUCUAGACAAACGGUCGAUGGGUUCGACUCCCAUACGCUUCCGCCA
rnacentral:tRNA from 1 species